rnacentral:rRNA from 1 species
AUUGCAAUGAGGCAUGUUUAAUAACCUGUUCGAGCAACCAGUGAAGGGCAAGUCUGGUGCCAGCAGCCGCGGUAAUUCCAGCUUCACGAGUGUAUAUUUAAGUUGUUGCAGUUAAAAAGCUCGUAGUUGAAAAUCUGUUCGUUCAGAAGGUGUUCAUAGCAUUUUCUGGAUGAGCAUCCGCCUGAAAAAUCAUUCGGGUCUUCACUGAUUCAGUGAUGGAUCAGGCAUUUUACUUUGAAAAAAUUAGAGUGUUCAAAGCAGGCUCACGCCUGAAUACAUUAGCAUGGAAUAAUAGAAUAGGACGCUGUUCAAUUUGUUGGUUAUUGAAUUGCGUAAUGAUUAAUAGGGACAGUUGGGGGCAUUUGUAUUUAAUUGUCAGAGGUGAAAUUCUUGGAUUUAUUAAAGACAAACUUAUGCGAAAGCAUUUGCCAAGGAUGUUUUCAUUAAUCAAGAACGAAAGUUAGAGGAUCAAAGACGAUCAGAUACCGUCCUAGUUUUAGCUAUAAACUAUGCCGACUCGGUCUCCGUCGAGUAAUUUUAACUCGAUGGGUGCCGUAUGAGAAAUCAAAGUCUUUGGGUUCCGGGGGGAGUAUGGUCGCAAGGUUGAAACUUAAAGGAAUAGACGGAACAUCACUACCAGGUGUGGAUCCUGCGGCUUAAUUUGACCCAACACGGGGAAACUUACCAGCGCAAAACAAUGGUGGGAUUGACAGAUUGAGAGCUCUUUCUUGAUUCUUUGGAUAGUGGUGCAUGGCCGUUCUUAGUUGGUGGAGUGAUUUGUCUGCUUAAUUGCGUUAACGAACGAGACCUCAACCUACUUACUAGACAUACGAUGUACAAUCGUGUGAUCUUCUUAGAGGGACUGUGCGGAGACAAACGCAAGGAAGUUUGAGGCAAUAACAGGUCUGUGAUGCCCUUAGAUGUGCUGGGCCGCACGCGGGAUACAAUGACCCGUUCAGAAAGUAUAACCUGACCCGGAAGGGAGUGGGUAAUCUUUUUAAUGCGGGUCGUGCUAGGGAUCGAUCUUUGCAAUUAUAGAUCUUGAACGAGGAAUACCUAGUAAGUGCAAGUCAUCAGCUUGUAGUGAUUACGUCCCUGGUGUUUGUACUCACCGCCCGUCGCUCCUACCAAUUUCGAAUGAUCCGGUGAACCUUUUGGAUUGGGUGCAAGCCUAAGAAGUUAAGUAAACCUUAUCAUUUAGAGGAAGGAGAAGUC